rnacentral:lncRNA from 1 species
UGAGUACCAAGCCAAGUGCCUGCAAAUUACUGUCACCACAAUUGAAAGCACAAUUAAAUUGCCUUUGAGUACUAAGAAAACCUUGAACUGCUGUGUGUUCUCCAAAUCAUUAAAUGGCAGAUAUCUUCUUGACUAUUUUCACUGUCUGAAAAAGAGGAAUAAAUCAGAGCUACAAUUAUUGAGAUAAAAAGCCUACAGAAAAAAUGCAGCUGAGUAAGGUGAUGAUUCCUACCUCCACUGAUUUGGAAAGAUUGUUUAACAAACUCUUAUGUGAAUAAUU